rnacentral:misc_RNA from 1 species
AAGUCGUAACAAGGUUUCCGUAGGUGAACCUGCGGAAGGAUCAUUAACACGUAUCCACGUACCCACUAGUAAAACAUUGUGUCACCAAAACAUCUCUCAGCGACCGGAUCAUGAGACCCGCAAACGGUAGAGUCUCUCCAAAAGGGAGACUGUCUCACCGGUAGAGGGAUUCCGUCUUGAGGUUUGACAUAAAACAAUCUCCCAAGCUUUCGGGCUUGCAGUUUCUGGCUGCCGUUUUGUACUUGGUUGUACCACUUUUUCACCAUUUGUACCUUUAUUUUGUCUAAACUUAAAGGGUUUGACUUGGAAACAAGCAAAUCCGAUUGUCGCGAAAUGUUUUUACAACUCUUAGCAGCGGAUAUCUUGGUUCUC